AGGUGCGAUCGUACCAGCACUAAUGCACCGGAUCCCAUCAGAACUCUACAAUUAAGCGUACCUUGGCAAGAGUAGUGCUAGGAGGGGUGACCUCCUGGGAAGUCCUCGUGUUGCACCCC
rnacentral:rRNA from 1 species